UCGCUGAGCUACUUCGUCAGCUACUCGCAUCAAUCUUUCGCAUUUGACUAAAGAUUGCCGUGGGGAAGGACACCCAAAUGAGCCGAUAUACCAAUUUUCGGGAGGCCUAGCCCGUUUCAGUCAGGCCU